UCUCCCCAUGCCCUCUCUCUUCCCAAAACAUCAAUCAUUAAAAACAAUCUCCACUCUUCCACUUCUCUCUUCACUCUCUCUCACACUCCACCCUUCCAACACUCAAACUCUCUUCCUCUCUCUCUAGCCCACGAAAAAUUUCAGUCAAGAACACCUCUCCACACUCAAAUCUUCAUCCUCCAAGACUAAUCUUCAAGGAUCCCGGUAGUAAGACGUUGGUGUAUUCCGAGGCACCACUUGUACCUACACGAAACAUUGAAAUAAUUAGUAAGUGGAUAUAAAGAUUCAUCAUCAUAGAGCAUGCUGCAUCGUGUUGAAGCUAUUAUGAAGUUAUAUUUUGAACAAUGUUGUUUUGGAAAACUUGUACUUUGUUUCUUUUUAAGCUAUGAGUUGUAAACUUUUAA